AUUCGUAUAGCAGGUGAUCCCGUUUAUGUUUUUACUCUCUUAACUUCUUUUUAUUUACUGUUCAACAAAGAUUGAGGACUCCUUUCGUUACUGCAAAUUGUUCGAGCUAGAUAUGUACGGUGAUCUUAUCCUUCUUUAUUGAUUUAUUUUGUUGUACAUAUUUAUCUAUGCUUGCAAAUGGGGUCUGAUUUACCGUGUCUUGUUCAAUAGAUAGUAUUCAAUAAGAUCAUGGGUUUCCGUGUCUUGUUCGGCGUGUCUUUCCUCGCGUUCUGCUGUUACUGUGUUUUAACAUGUUGCCAAUGUCUGACAUUCGAUAAUCUGGUUUGGUUGAAAUCUUCCGCGGGAUAAUAAUUAUGCGAUGCCAGUGUUCUUUAUAGCUUAGCUAGCCUAUAGUUUGAAAGACAGAGUGCAUAUCACACUGCACCAAAAGCUUUUUGCAGAACAUAGCUUUGAAUUGGAUUUUUACGUGGAAAUUGCAUGUUAUUUGGCUUCCUUUUUUAAUUGCUCCAGUGGAUGGAGAUUGAUAGUUUGACUGUUCAAGUUGGUGUAUUCUGGCAACAUUUUGCCUUUCAAAAUGAUUUCUCUUUACACGGGUUUGUGCAUGAGUCCUUUCUUGAUUGACAGAGUCAAUUGCUUUGUUGAUUUUUUCACAAAAAUACGAGGAAUAUUUUGAUCUACUGGUAUGGAAUUGUAGUAUUUCAUUGGGAAUCUGCUUUUGGGGAACUUAAUAUUGCAUGUAAGGUGGAGAGAUAUCAAAUAUAAUUAUUUGGAUAAAAGCAUACAGAGCGCUGUAAGGGUGCCAUAGGAUUCACGUUCUUUAUAAUAAAGUUACAAAA
rnacentral:lncRNA from 1 species